rnacentral:rRNA from 1 species
UGCAGUCGAGCGGAUGNNGAAGAAGCUUGCUUCUUCUGAUUUUAGCGNCNNNNNNGUGAGUAACACGUGGGCAACCUACCUUGUAGAUUGGGAUAACUCCGGGAAACCGGGGCUAAUACCGAAUAAUCCAUUUUGCUUCAUGGCGAAAUGUUAAAAGGCGGCGAUCUCGCUGUCACUGCAAGAUGGGCCCGCGGCGCAUUAGCUAGUUGGUAAGGUAACGGCUUACCAAGGCGACGAUGCGUAGCCGACCUGAGAGGGUGAUCGGCCACACUGGGACUGAGACACGGCCCAGACUCCUACGGGAGGCAGCAGUAGGGAAUCUUCCACAAUGGACGAAAGUCUGAUGGAGCAACGCCGCGUGAGUGAAGAAGGUUUUCGGAUCGUAAAACUCUGUUGUAAGGGAAGAACACGUACGAGAGUAACUGCUCGUACCUUGACGGUACCUUAUUAGAAAGCCACGGCUAACUACGUGCCAGCAGCCGCGGUAAUACGUAGGUGGCAAGCGUUGUCCGGAAUUAUUGGGCGUAAAGCGCGCGCAGGCGGUCCUUUAAG